rnacentral:rRNA from 1 species
CAGAGGGGGCAAGCGUUGCUCGGAAUCACUGGGCGUAAAGGGCGCGUAGGCGGGAUGGCAAGUCGGUCGUGAAAUCCCUGGGCUCAACUCAGGGGGGUCGGCCGAUACUGCUGUUCUUGAGGGAUGCAGAGGAGACUGGAAUUCCCGGUGUAGCGGUGAAAUGUGUAGAGAUCGGGAGGAACACCGGUGGCGAAGGCGGGUCUCUGGGCAUUCCCUGACGCUGAGGCGCGAAAGCGUGGGGAGCAAACGGGAUCAGAUACCCCGGUAGUCCACGCGGUAAACGAUGACGACUAGGUGUGGGGGGGGUUAAGUCCCUUCCGUGCCGCAGCUAACGCAUUAAGUCGUCCGCCUGGGGAGUACGGCCGCAAGGUUG